rnacentral:lncRNA from 1 species
UGAACAAUGCUGUCAAAGAAAUAUUGCUCAUACAAGACUUCUACCGUCAUGGAGAGCAACAACAUGGAUGAGGCCUUUUUUUCUUGACAUACCAGAUUCCCCACUAGAAGCUUUAAAUUUGGAACAAGAUGGAAGUCAAAACCACCCGAUAGGUUUUCCUGAGAUUCCAGAAGAUGGUAUGAACUGUUUUUAAAUGUGUGUUUGAAAUAACUGUUGUUGGAAAUAGUGUACAUUUUUAGGAGUUAUGCAUUAACA